UUGCAUUUCAUUUUAAGUUGGUUACACUUGCUGAGACACUUCUAUUGGAAUGCCAUGUAUCGUUAAAGAAAUUUUGUGAUGUGUUGGGCCUCAAUAAGUCCAAUAUGCUUCCUGUUUGGGUUAAGAAUCUCUAUAAAAUAUUGAAUGAUGAUUCUUUUGAUGAAUUUAGAUAUCACCAACAUUUGUUCAAAACAAUGAAACAAUUUGUCUUGCAACAAAAACCUGACAAUGUUUGCCCGUUAUGUCCUUUGCAGAGUGAAACUGAUACUGACAAGAAUGUUGCCAUUGAGUGCAUGGAUGGAUGUUUUGGGCUUGUGAGAAAAA